rfam:Picea glauca, whole genome shotgun sequence.
GCAUGCUUACAUGAUAUGUUAAUGCACUAGAUCCCAUUAGAACUCCAUGGUUAAGCACACUCGGGCUAGAGUAGUAUUAGGAUGGGUGACCGUCGAGGAACUCCUAGUGUUUUACAUGCC